UUCCUGGUGGUCCAGUGGUUGAGAUUCUGCAUUUCCACUGCAGAGGGCACAGGUUGGAUCCCUGCUCAGGGAG
rnacentral:tRNA from 1 species